CGGACCGCGUUCACGUACGAGCAACUGGUAGCGCUGGAGAACAAGUUCAAAACGACGCGGUACCUGUCGGUGUGCGAACGGCUCAACCUGGCGUUGUCGCUGUCGCUCACCGAGACCCAGGUGAAAAUAUGGUUCCAGAACAGGCGGACCAAGUGGAAGAAACAGAACCCCGGGCUGGACGUCAACAGUCCGACGGUACCGCCGCCCGGGCCGCCGG